rnacentral:pre_miRNA from 1 species
UGGAAGACUAGUGAUUUUGUUGUUUUGCUUACGAUAAUAACAAUAAAUCUCAAGUCUUUCUA